rnacentral:rRNA from 1 species
CAGUCGCCGCGGUAAUACGAAGGGGGCUAGCGUUGCUCGGAAUUACUGGGCGUAAAGGGCGCGUAGGCGGACAGCUUAGUCAGAGGUGAAAGCCCAGGGCUCAACCUUGGAACUGCAUUUGAUACUGGCUGUCUUGAGUUCGGGAGAGGUGAGUGGAAUGCCGAGUGUAGAGGUGAAAUUCGUAGAUAUUCGGCGGAACACCAGUGGCGAAGGCGACUCACUGGCCCGAUACUGACGCUGAGGCGCGAAAGCGUGGGGAGCAAACAGGAUUAGAUACCCCGGUAGUCCCUGUCUCUUAUAC